rnacentral:rRNA from 1 species
GUGGGGGAUAUUGGACAAUGGGGGAAACCCUGAUGCAGCGACGCCGCGUGAGUGAAGAAGUAUCUCGGUAUGUAAAGCUCUAUCAGCAGGGAAGAAAAUGACGGUACCUGACUAAGAAGCUCCGGCUAAAUACGUGCCAGCAGCCGCGGUAAUACGUAUGGAGCAAGCGUUAUCCGGAUUUACUGGGUGUAAAGGGAGCGUAGGCGGUAAGGCAAGUCUGAUGUGAAAGGCCAGGGCUCAACCCUGGGACUGCAUUGGAAACUGUUUAACUGGAGUGUCGGAGAGGCAAGUGGAAUUCCUAGUGUAGCGGUGAAAUGCGUAGAUAUUAGGAGGAACACCAGUGGCGAAGGCGGCUUGCUGGACGAUGACUGACGCUGAGGCUCGAAAGCGUGGGGAGCAAACAGGAUUAGAAACCCUAGUAGUCC